rnacentral:lncRNA from 1 species
CGGAAACGUCAUAGAACUUACUCGAAUGGUCAGAGGUAGCCAUAAACAGGCAUGAAGGACCAUGGGUAGGAGUUGAACCACUCCAGGUUCACAUAAGGACUCAAGGUAGUGUCAAACCGGCGUGGGGUGAAGCAGAUAACAGGAGAUGAUGAGAGGCCAUGGUUUCUAGCAAGGGAGGUGGCCGGAGAAAGUGGACAGGGUCCGUCGGAGAGGAGGGGAGAAGAGAAGGUUCUAUAGAAAACCAGAGAUAGAGAGACGGAUAUAGAGAGAUCAGUUGAGAGAGAAUG